CUUCACCCUGCACUUGGUGAAACUUGUACGUCAAGGAUGCAAGAGGCGCCGAAGUAACGCAGCUCCCACCUGUCGCUCUCUGCUGGGCGCCGAGACUACGGCCGGAGAACAGCUGCAUUGGGAUUGGAGAAAGGAAGCCAUCAGUCUUAGGGAGGCUCCACCUUCUUGCCAUUGCCUGGUUGGAGGAGCGCAGCGUCAGUCACUAAGAGCGGUCACCACCUCUGGGACAGGAACUCUCUGCUCGCCCCUGGGUCCUACCAGCGCAACUAAUUCCAGUUAUAAUCAGAUCUGUGUGGUGCAAAACAAGGCUAGCUGUGCUGGUCUUCCCUCCUCUAAGGAUGUCUCUUCCUCCCUGUAUCCAUCUCUCUAUCUCUGUCUUUAUCUUGUCAAUAAAGAGGGGGGUUUAAAAAUG